CUACGGAGGAUGCAAGCGUUAUCCGGAUUUAUUGGGUUUAAAGGGUGCGUAGGCGGUUUGCUAAGCGGGAGGUGAAAUGCCGGCGCUCAACGUCGGAAGUGCCUCCCGAACUGGUGGACUUGAAUGACUCUGCCGUGGGAGGAAUGUGUAGUGUAGCGGUGAAAUGCUUAGAGAUUACACAGAACACCGAUUGCGAAGGCAUCUCACGAAGGGUUGAUUGACGCUGAGGCACGAAAGCGUGGGGAUCAAACAGGAUUAGAUACCCUGGUAGUCCACGCAGUAAACGAUGAUGGCUAACCGCUGGGCUUAUCAGUUCAGUGGCCAAGCGAAAGCGAUAAGCCAUCCACCUGGGGAGUACGACCGCAAGGUUGAAACUUAAAGGAAUUGACGGGG
rnacentral:rRNA from 1 species